AGAUUCGUAAUAAAACAUGGAACACGGAAUCAUAUCAAGAAUAAAACCCCCACCAAGUAAUCCCUACACUAGCGACCCAAACCGGCCCUAGUCUUCUGCCCUAAUUCGCGUCCUCCAGACCUUCCUAUCUAGGGUCAUGUCCUCGGUGAGCUGUAACUGCUCCAUGUCCAGCCUAAUCACCUCACCCCAGUACUUCUUCGGCCUACCCCUACC
rnacentral:lncRNA from 1 species